rnacentral:lncRNA from 1 species
CCUCUUUUUUCAUUUUUUCUAAAAAAAAUCUUUCCCUCAAGAUGUGGUCAUAAUCUCAAUUCAAAUUUCUAAUGGAGUUUGCAACCAAAAUUACCCUUUUAAAUACAUUGAACUUUAAAUGUGAUUGGAAUACCUCCCUACACUGUUUUAAAACUGUCUUAAUUGUCCAAUAACCAGAAAAAAACCUUUUUUUGUCCCCAAUUCCUAGUUUGAGCCCCCAAAGUCAAUCUUAACCAUCAAUUUGUGAUAUUGAAACUUGUGGUAUAAUUUCAGUGAGAUUCAUACACUAAAACAAAAUUUAUUGUAUGGAAACUACAAAAAUGCUUAUUUGGACUCCUUUUUGUUCCCCUAGUUCCUUAACUGUUUGGACCAUAACCCUGAAAAUCAAUCCCACCUUUCCUUUUGUGAUUAUAAACCUUGUGUAUAAAUUACAUGAAUUUCUAUGAACUUAUACUGAAGUAAGUGUCCAAUAACCAACUGUCUUCUGAAGACUACAACG